UGGGGAAUAUUGGACAAUGGGCGAAAGCCUGAUCCAGCCAUGCCGCGUGUGUGAAGAAGGCCUUUUGGUUGUAAAGCACUUUAAGCGAGGAGGAGGCUACUUGGAUUAAUACUCUAGGAUAGUGGACGUUACUCGCAGAAUAAGCACCGGCUAACUCUGUGCCAGCAGCCGCGGUAAUACAGAGGGUGCGAGCGUUAAUCGGAUUUACUGGGCGUAAAGCGCGCGUAGGCGGCUUCUUAAGUCGGAUGUGAAAUCCCUGAGCUUAACUUAGGAAUUGCAUUCGAUACUGGGAAGCUAGAGUAUGGGAGAGGAUGGUAGAAUUCCAGGUGUAGCGGUGAAAUGCGUAGAGAUCUGGAGGAAUACCGAUGGCGAAGGCAGCCAUCUGGCCUAAUACUGACGCUGAGGUACGAAAGCAUGGGGAGCAAACAGG
rnacentral:rRNA from 1 species